GACGAACGCUGGCGGCGUGCUUAACACAUGCAAGUCGAACGGAAAGGCCCUGCUUUUGUGGGGUGCUCGAGUGGCGAACGGGUGAGUAACACGUGAGUAACCUGCCCUUGGCUUUGGGAUAACUUCAGGAAACUGGGGCUAAUACCGGAUAGGAGCUCCUGCUGCAUGGUGGGGGUUGGAAAGUUUCGGCGGUUGGGGAUGGACUCGCGGCUUAUCAGCUUGUUGGUGGGGUAGUGGCUUACCAAGGCUUUGACGGGUAGCCGGCCUGAGAGGGUGACCGGCCACAUUGGGACUGAGAUACUGCCCAGACUCCUACGGGAGGCAGCAGUGGGGAAUAUUGCACAAUGGGCGGAAGCCUGAUGCAGCAACGCCGCGUGCGGGAUGACGGCCUUCGGGUUGUAAACCGCUUUCGCCUGUGACGAAGCGUGAGUGACGGUAAUGGGUAAAGAGGCACCGGCUAACUACGUG
rnacentral:rRNA from 1 species